AUUCUGUUGCUAGUGAGAUCAUCUCAAGUAGCACAGUCCUUUGUUCCCUGGAAAACUGCUGACCUUUCAACUGUCAUCGGUGUUUUCUGCACAGGAUGUGCUGCACAGCACAAUUCUGUGCAUGACAAAAUCGAGUUGGAAAUCUAUUCGAGACACAAAAGCUAAGAAGAUCAGUUGUCUGCUGUACAAACCUGCAUUUCAAGAAAUAUUGAAGAAAAUUCUUCAGGUGGAAGGAAAAUUAAAUGAACUGAAACUCAAAAUCAGGUCCACAGAAGGAAGGAAAGAAGAUAUGGAACAGUAAAUCCUUGGGAAAACAAAAGUUAUGUUCUCCAAUAAAGAGGAUUAUGGUUGGACCAGAAAAAAUGGACAACUCAGGAUACUAUUAGAAAUGAAGAACCUCAUUCCCUAUCCCAAACUAAUUCAAUCAAAAUCUGUAGUUGAACACGAUUCACAAGUGAUUCCCAUGUUACUUAAAAUUUAGAAGUGCUACAUGUUAAUUCUCCUUUAUAAAGACAUCAGCUAAUCUGGGCUGACUGAUUUUGUUCUGGAGAUGAAUGAAAUAGCAGGAAUGUCACCAGACACAGCAAGCAGACAACUGUCUAUAAACCACGAAGAGGAUCCUCACCAAGGACUCAAACCUGUUGGCAUCCUGAUCUUGAACUUUUAAUCUCCAAAACUAUACGAAAUAAAUGUUUAUUUAUUUAUUUAUUUAUUUU